CUACGGGACGCACCAGUGGGGAAUAUUGGACAAUGGGGGCAACCCUGAUCCAGCCAUGCCGCGUGUGUGAAGAAGGCCUUAGGGUUGUAAAGCACUUUCAGAUGUGAGGAAAGGUGUGUGCUUAAUACGUACAUACUGUGACGUUAGCAUCAGAAGAAGGACCGGCUAACUCCGUGCCAGCAGCCGCGGUAAUACGGAGGGUCCGAGCGUUAAUCGGAAUUACUGGGCGUAAAGCGCGCGUAGGUGGUUUCGUCAGUCAGAUGUGAAAGCCCCGGGCUCAACCUGGGAAUUGCACCUGAUACUGCGGAACUAGAGUACGAUAGAGGGGAGUGGAAUUUCCGGUGUAGCGGUGAUAUGCAUAGAGAUCGGAAGGAACACCAGUGGCGAAGGCGACUCCCUGGAUUGAUACUGACACUGAGGUGCGAAAGCGUGGGGAGCAAACAGGAUUAGAUACCCUAGUAGUC
rnacentral:rRNA from 1 species